UACAGAGGGUGCAAGCGUUACUCGGAAUUACUGGGCGUAAAGCGUACGCAGGCGGUUUUGUAAGUCAGAUGUGAAAUCCCCGGGCUUAACCUGGGAACUGCGUUUGAAACUACAAGGCUAGAGUGUGGCAGAGGGGGGUGGAAUUCCACGUGUAGCAGUGAAAUGCGUAGAGAUGUGGAGGAACACCGAUGGCGAAGGCAGCCCCCUGGGUUAACACUGACGCUCAGGCACGAAAGCGUGGGGAGCAAACAGG
rnacentral:rRNA from 1 species